GUAAGUUCUGCCUGCUGCCCUUCAGGGCCACGGUGGACUGGAGGUAGGCCUCCAUGGGCCUCUGUGGGCCUCUGUGGGCCUCUGUGGCCUCUGUGGGCUUCUGUGAGCCUCUGUGGGCCUCUGUGGGCUUCUGUGGGCCUCUGUGGGCUUCUGUGAGCCUCUGUGGGCUUCUGUGAGCCUCUGUGGGCCUCUGUGGGCCUCUGAGGGCCUCCGUGGGCCUCUGUGGCCUCUGUGGGCCUUUAUGGGCCUCUGUGAGCCUCUGUGAGCCUCUGUGGGCCUCUGUGAGCCUCUGUGGGCCUCUGUGGGCCUCUGUGGGCCUCUGUGGGCCUUUAUGGGCUUCUGUGGGCCUCUGAGGGCCUCUGUGGGCCUCUGUGGGCUUCUGUGGGCCUCUGUGAGCCUCUGUGGGCCUUUAUGGGCUUCUGUGGGCCUCUGAGGGCCUCUGUGGGCCUGGUGAGUGGCCUGCUGGUCCUGAAGCCCCUGUGCUCUUCAGAUUGCAGUGAGCAUGCUGACCUAUCCCUUCCUGCUCGUUGGAGAUCUCAUGGCAGUAAACAACUGUGGGUACGUAUGCGCCCUUCCACCUGGCCCCCUACCAAGGCUGCUGGGACGUCCACCUACACAUAAUUCCCUGUGGGGUUAGCAUGGUGUUGGGAUGGGCAUAGGGUGCAGCCCCCCUACAUUCUCCAGUCCUCGCUGAUGACAUGUCUGAGGCCCCAUGUUCUCCACAGACUGCAGGCUGGACUCCCUCCGUAUUCCCCUGUGUUUAAGUCCUGGAUCCACUGCUGGAAGUACUUGAGUGUGCAG
rnacentral:lncRNA from 1 species